rnacentral:rRNA from 1 species
GAUCCUGCUCAGAUUGAACGCUGGCGGCAGGCUUAACACAUGCAAGUCGAACGGUAACAGGAGAGAGCUUGCUUUCUUGCUGACGAGUGGCGGACGGGUGAGUAAUGCUUGGGAAUCUGGCUUAUGGAGGGGGGUAACGACGGGAAACUGUCGCUAAUACCGCGUAGAGUCGAGAGACGAAAGUGCGGGACCGCAAGGCCGCAUGCCAUAGGAUGAGCCCAAGUGGGAUUAGGUAGUUGGG